CUCCCUCGCCCAAAAUCUCUCUGAACGGACUCCACUCCCUUCCCUCUCCCUCUCCCUCCCGUUACCGCAACUUAAUGCGCCCCUAAUGACCAUUAGAGCUCCAGUAAUGGCCGCCAUUAGGGUGCCCUAAAGCCGCUGCUCCCGCACGCACCUGGAUACCCCCUCUCCCUAUAAAACCCGCCCCCGUGACGCCCAGUUUCCCCUCGUCCGAAGCCCCAUCAUAUGAUCAUAUGGGCACUCCUCCCUCACUCUCCCUCACACUUCUGUUUUACACCUUAUGGAUGGUGGUUUAUUCAAAUUCGCAGCUGGAGCGCGAUGUCCGCGAGCGUCGCGUCCAUCCGGAGCUCCGCCAAGUCCGGCGGCCUUCCACCACCGCCACAGAACGAGGACGAGUCCGGGAACUUGUCUACAGAACUCCCUUCGACCUCCUCUACGCCGUUCAACCAUUCGUUGACGCCAGAUGCCAUCUUCUCCAACUCCGGCGGAAUUCCGAUUAAGAGAUGAUAGGGUUAUGGCCUACACUCAAUGAGCCAAGUGGCGUUGAUGGAGCCCUAACUUAGCGACAUGCAUGUUAUUUUGCUGUAUUACGCGCUAGCAUUGAGUUGUGCCAAUGCUUCGAUCCAGGGAUAGCACAAUAGGCACGAAGAUUUGGAUUCUACCAAAUCUGAGUCGUUACAACUAGCCACUGAAGCGUUAAAGUGUGCCGGCUCUCAUGUCUAUCUUUUCCUCCUCAAACGAAUGGACAUAAUAAUGGUUCAAUGGGAAUAUAUAUAUAACAAAUAGACGGAAAUGCAAUUGUCUCUUUCCAUAGCAUAUAACUUGGAAAGGAAUCUGUGUUGCAUGCGGUGUCGGUGUUUUACGUGAGAUGUUAUACUCCUGAUGCUAUCACUGGAUCAGUACUGCUGGUUAAAUUCCUCUGUAUCUAUCUACCUAUCCCCAAGUGAAACAUAUCAUGAUGGACCGAGGAACAAGACACCAACGUUAGCAUGUUUCUAUAGCUACCGUUUAGCGACAGCAUGUUCACCACACAAUGCACUAACUAGCUUCCUAUUUAAACACCUCCUCCCUGGAAUUCAUCUUCUUCUCAUCCAAUAUUUUCCUCCCUCUCCAACAACCAUUCUCCUCUUCCCUCGCAAAGAAAAACAACCCUCCUCGAUAUAGCUAUAGAAACGUACCUUGUGCUCCUCCAGCACACAGUGCACUAGCUAGCUGCUCGCCUAUUUAACCACCACCUGCAUGUUCUUCUCAUCCCAUAGUUAUCUCCCUCUCUAUCAACCCUCCUCCUUGAUACUUCUCUCCCUUACCUCUACAUACCCACACACAAGUGUGCCUCUUCUAUAGCAGAAGUUCGACUGCCUGAUCUUUGGUAAGCUCUAGUCCUCCUUGUUUCUGUUUGUCUUCAUUAUAAGCGCCAAGGUUCUCACACACGCGAAAACACUGUAGACCUCAGCGACACGCUCUACCCACUCUCAUUCGGGAUAUUUCCUAUUGUUUGAACGAACAUAGAGGUAUAUAUGGUGUCUUGCUAUCCACGCGCAUGCUUUCGUUUAUGUUUUUGACUUUUUUAAAGUUAAUGCAUGUCUAUUAUUCGCUGCCAUGCGUUUUGUAGAUUACAUGAUGCAAAAGCAUCAAAAGGUCCAAUGUUUCCAUCGUAUGCCCUCAGCUGUAUAAAAAUUAUGGCACUA